rnacentral:rRNA from 1 species
GAUGAACGCUAGCGGGAGGCUUAACACAUGCAAGUCGAGGGGCAGCACGUCUUCGGAUGGUGGCGACCGGCGCACGGGUGCGUAACGCGUAUGCAACCUGCCUUAUGCAGGGGGAUAGCCCGGGGAAACCCGGAUUAAUACCUCAUGAGACCUUUUCCCGCAUGGGGUGAAGGUGAAAGAUUUAUCGGCAUAAGAUGGGCAUGCGCCUGAUUAGCUAGUUGGUAGGGUAAAGGCCUACCAAGGCGACGAUCAGUAGGGGUUCUGAGAGGAACAUCCCCCACACUGGUACUGAGACACGGACCAGACUCCUACGGGAGGCAGCAGUGAGGAAUAUUGGUCAAUGGGCGGAAGCCUGAACCAGCCAUUCCGCGUGAAGGAAGAAGGCCUUAUGGGUUGUAAACUUCUUUUCUGUUAGAAGAAUAAGCUUGUCGAGACGAGUGAUGCCGGUAUGACAGGAAUAAGCAUCGGCUAACUCCGUG